rnacentral:misc_RNA from 1 species
GUAAAUAUUUAUUAUCUACAAGCAGGAGUAUAAGGAUUGGAGGUAGUAGUAAUCCUAGCUUGCUAACAAGCAAUUUCCCUUCCCUUUCUCGGAGAACCCAAAGACCGACAAAAGAAGAGAAGCAGAAACCAGCUGAGCUUCGAUUCUACUACAGUACUACAGUCCAAAGCUACAAGCUGGUUCCUUUAAAACUUAAUAAUAAAAAGAAAAAAAAAAAACGCUCUAUAAACCUAACAAAAACAAAAGGGUUGUUAGGGUUUUAAUGUCCAGGAGAUUCCGGGGACAAAACCAUCAUCCCUCAGGUAAAAAUCUCCUUCUUGGAUAACUUCCACACACGCAAGAGAAAGGGAAAAAAAAAAGAGAGAGAGAGAGCGAGAACACUCUCCUCUGACCUCGGUAGCAGGUACUAGUAAUUAAAUAAGGCUAUGCUUGAUUCACCAGAUCGUUUGAAUCUAUGAAUGUGCCAUGAAACCCGUAGGGAACCCUGGAUGGUAGCUUAACCGUAGCUUCUAAUUGUAAAUUCAUGGCAUUCACAAUUUGAAGUUCCGAUUUCCACUUCUUCUCGUCAUGGACAAAAGCAAGAAUGUACCCAUCAUCGUCUGAUUCGCUAUUAGGGUCCCUUGGCAGGAAAAAUGGCUCCCCACCAUAUUUUUCAUCGCCAUAUAUAUACUUCUUUACUUCCCCAGUAAAAAGAUCAACCUUGGCAAAACCAGACACCUUAGGCCAGGGCUCAACAAUGGCUAGGUAGGCAUAUUGAGUCUUUCUCCCAAGCCUGUUCCGGUUCACCAUCCCGGCCUCUAAAUUCACUUGGUUUGAUUCUUCAAUUAUAGGGCGGCGCGUGGACUUGCCCGUCUUUAAAUUGAGCCUGAUUUCUGAUAAUACGCUCUCUAAACUCUCGUCGCUUUCGUUGAAGAUGGAGUCCGGUGGAGUCAUGCAAGAUCCGAUCACUACUACUUCAUUGGAUUCCGGCUCCUCCCAUGCAUUCCAUAAAUGGAAGCAGAAAGUGUCCGGUGAUUCCACCCAGAUAAUAUCCUUAGCAUCACUAGCAUUCUUUGCAAGAAUUCCAAAACGAGACUUCUUGUCCUUGUCAUAAAUAACCGGAGAGCCACCUCUUAUCAUUUCUUGAAGCUUGAAAACGACUUGUUGGUCAGGUAUCACCACGAAAUUCUCAGUGAUAGCGAAAUCAUGCAUCAUGGUUGGCACUGGGAGAGGGAUAUCGACGUCCGGUGAUUUUGUCGCGUCCGGGAAGAAUCUGAAGUACUUGAGGUACGGCUUUUGGACGACGUCGUAGCUCAGAGCAAAUAGCUCUUUAGAAACUGGAUCAAUCUUUGGGUGAGCAAUCAUUGUGUGCUCAAGUUGGCCAUCGAAAUUGUACCGCCUAACAGUUUCAAGAUCGCCGCUGGAAGUGAUACGCACUUGGUAAGGAACAUCGUCCUCAGACAUGGCAAGAAGCCUGUCAUUGAAGUAGACAAGCCCUGCGUUAGCCACUCCAGUUCCUUUGGUGUGAUCAACAAGCCCACAUAAUCCUCUGGCAUAGAAAAGGAGCAAUCUUGCUAUACCAGAGUGGCCAUGAAGCUCGCCAAUUGCUUUAGGAAACACUGGCCUACCUAAUACUCUCUCUUGUUUCAGCCUUUCUGUUUCAGUGAAACGACAAGCAUAGCUUGCAUUGCCCUUGUCAAUGGUCACAGCGUGGACCAUGCCGUCUCCGUCGAAUAAAUGGUGGCCGGCGAUAGGCUCGAAAAGUGGGUUGGCACCGUUUCGCACGUAGACACCAUUAAUGCAUUCAGGGAUGGUUCCGGUGACCGGAAGCUCCUGCUGAACUGGCUGUUCAGGCACGGGAGCAUAGUUUCCGGAGAUUUGGACACGUGGAUCAGCAGUUUUGGGCAGCUGUUGUUGGCGCUCAUGAGAGACCAAGGCACCUUCUACCAUGUCUAAAGCUACAGCUGCUGCUCUUUGAAAGAGAUUCCACUGCGGUUGUUGAAGGUGGCCGGUUUUGCGUUUUACAGUGAGAAAGGAGUCAUCUUUGGGAAUUGCUGGUGCUCGAUAGGAUUGUUCAGGGAAAUGGAGAACAGAGGGAGAGUGUAGAGCGCAGUGAAUUUUGGUUCUUUUACUAUUGGGCUUUCUCUUGGCGAAGGAGACAUAGCCCAAAUCCAGCAGAGAACUAGAAGGGAAAGGGUGAGCGAAUUGGGUUGUAGCCCAAUUACCGGAGUUGGAGGCUCUAGUAGAUGCAGCCAUGGAGAGACGAAAAGUUAUGUGGGGUUUUGUUCAGUCUUGAAAGCAAGGGAAGAAGAGUCACUUCUAGCUUUUGGUAGAGAACUUGAGAGAUAUUGAGAGGGAGAGAAGAGAGUUUUUGG